rnacentral:rRNA from 1 species
ACUCCUGCGGGAGGCAGCAGUGGGGAAUAUUGGACAAUGGGCGCAAGCCUGAUCCAGCCAUGCCGCGUGAGUGAUGAAGGCCCUAGGGUUGUAAAGCUCUUUCACCGGUGAAGAUAAUGACGGUAACCGGAGAAGAAGCCCCGGCUAACUUCGUGCCAGCAGCCGCGGUAAUACGAAGGGGGCUAGCGUUGUUCGGAUUUACUGGGCGUAAAGCGCACGUAGGCGGACUAUUAAGUCAGGGGUGAAAUCCCGGGGCUCAACCCCGGAACUGCCUUUGAUACUGGUAGUCUUGAGUUCGAGAGAGGUGAGUGGAAUUCCGAGUGUAGAGGUGAAAUUCGUAGAUAUUCGGAGGAACACCAGUGGCGAAGGCGGCUCACUGGCUCGAUACUGACGCUGAGGUGCGAAAGCGUGGGGAGCAAACAGGAUUAGAAACCCGUGUAGUCCCAUGAU